GUGGGCCUACGGGAGGCAGCAGUGGGGAAUAUUGCACAAUGGGGGAAACCCUGAUGCAGCGACGCCGCGUGGGCGAGGAAGUACCUCGGUAUGUAAAGCCCUAUCAGCAGGGAAGAAACAGGACGGUACCUGACUAAGAAGCCCCGGCUAACUACGUGCCAGCAGCCGCGGUAAUACGUAGGGGGCAAGCGUUAUCCGGAUUUACUGGGUGUAAAGGGAGCGUAGACGGCGUGCCAAGUCUGAUGUGAAAGGCCGGGGCUCAACCCCGGGACUGCAUUGGAAACUGGCAUGCUG
rnacentral:rRNA from 1 species